GAUUCCUUACAAGAGAAGCACAAAUAUCCUUCUUUAAAAGGACCCAAUCCAGGAUCCCACAUUGCAUCUUGUCCUCGUGUCUCCUUAAAUCUCCUCCAGCCUGUGACAGUUCCUCAGUCUUUCCUUGUCCUCAUGACCUUGAAACUUUUGGAGAGUACUAAAAUUGUGAAGAGUACAGUUCUUUUGUAGAACGUCCCUUAGUUUGGAUCUGCCUGAUAUUUUUCUCAUGAUUAGAUUGAAGGAUCUUAGCUCCCUGACCAGAGACUGAACCUGGGCUCCAGCAGUGAAAGCACCGAGUCCUAACCACUGGACCGCCAGGGAAUUCCGACACCUGUGUCUUUGUUCUAUUGUUUCGUUCAUCUUUAUCACUAGU